GCUGCUUUUAUAUCAGCUGGUAGUCGUAUAGAAAAACACAAUGUAGAAUAUCAACUGGCCAAACUCCCCUGGUCUCUUCGGCCAUAUCUCGAACGCACUGUUAAACACACACCAUGAGGUCGGAGACAAGAAGAAAUGAAUGGAAGAUGUGCUGCUUUCCCAGGGAGGCCACACGGCAGCUCUUAAGUAAGCAGCGUUAGGCCAUGUUCUCCACAGAUCAAAGUGGUGGACUGGAGAACACGGGCUGAGCCCAUUAGACUGAGAAAAGCCUGCUCUGGCUGUGGUCUCUUUCUCAGUUCUGCUCUUCUAAACAAUACUCUAGAUGCUGGAAGCUCCAACAAAGAUGUGUAACACAGCUAUUAAACAUUAAUUGUUUUUUCCCCUCCCUCUCUCGCUCCCUGUUGCCUUUCUUGCUUUUCUCGCGCUACGACUUUUACAACUAAUUUUUCAACAUCGCAUAAAAGCAUAAUGCUGGCCUGAUUUCCAUGCGGUGUUGUUGAAGGAAAAAAAAAAAAAAAAGAUAUAGAGUAUGUCUACAAAAAAGCAGGAAGUCCCUGAUGUUGGCGGUAGACAGUGUUUCAAAUCCUAGUUUUGGUCCUUUAUUUUAUUCAGCAGUGGAAAGCCAUGAAUACAGAAAAUAAUAAUAAUAAUAAUAAUAAUAAUAAUAAUAAUAAUAAUAAUAAUAAUAAUGCCUGUUACAAUUCUCCAUCAUGAUCUCUACUCUCUGAAAGUAUGGACACAGUACACGGUAAUGAAAAAUAUUUAAAAAUGAGUUAACCUUCAAAGAAAUAAAGAAAAACAAACAAACAAACAAAAAAAGUAUUCACCAAUUACAUAAACAUUUUUUUUUUUUGCUACUGUCCCAAUUUUACUGUAUACACAGAGGAUCAUAUUCCCCAUCAUCAAAGAAUGACAGUAAUAGAAAGGAUACAUGACUCAACGGCCAGACAUAAUGUUCCAUAACGUAUGCACAGAGGUACAAGCAAUAAAUACACACAUUAGGUUAAGCCUUACAGCUACGCAACGCAGAUGCAGGAAAAGAGCAGGUUUGCUAUUCUCAGCAAGCAAGGUGACAACAGUAAAAAGUCAUGAAAUUCCCGAAAAAAGAAACAUUGAUCUUUUAGCUUAGAAAAAAAAAGUCUGGUAAAUUCAUGAAUCCACCAACAUUUUUUUAAUCUUUUUACAUAAUAUGCACAAUUAUCAAAAUACAGACAAAAUCAUCCCAGAAAAAAUCCAGACAAUCCUAAAUCUAGUGGAGGAGCAGAUUGCAGAUCUGGAGGUCUUUCUGGUAUUAUGUGCAAGCAACAAUUUUAGACAUUUUUUAUUAUUAUGUUUUUUUUUUAUUAUUUUUUAAUUUUUUUUUACAAAACCCAUGCAAAAUCUACAGGUAAUAUGCAUUCUGUGGUUGAAAGUUCAUUUUUUUCCAUCCUUCCCAAAAACAGUAGGGCUGAGGUAUGCAUAUUUUAUGCAUUGUACACUUAGGCCACCAUCCUGAUCGUUUUUUUUUUUUUUUUUUUUUUAUUUAUUUUAUUAUUAUUAUACGCUUUUAUUAAAUCAUAUUUCCAGUCCACCACAUGAGUUUAGACAUGCAUUAAAAAAAAAAAAAAAACCACAAUAUCCCCUUACAGGUAUAUGUUUACAUCAUUCUACAAACGUUCCAGGACAACCUGUGACAAUGCAAACCUUCCAUCUCUGGCAUUGGGAAUGUAAACUGUAUUGGCAAUGUCUUAUGGAACAAGUGGAGGAGAACAUGACAGCUCCUGUAGCUUUCUAUUAACUCAUGCAAUCUGCCUUAUUUGUUCUGAAAUUGUGGUGAAGAGGUAGAACCUUUUAGAAAGCCUUUUUGGAUAAGUGGGAGAACCCUUUUUUUUUUUUUUUUUUUUUUUUUUUUUUUUUUUUUAAAGAAGCUGCGUCCUUAUAUUUGGUGUGAUAAAAUUAAUAUGAACGUCAUCUUCAAGUCAAUUUCCAGCAAAGGAUGAGGGAUAAGCUUUGUUCCUGGAUCCAGCUUCUUCAGCUUCUGAGUGGAACUGAUGUAAAUAUGUGUAUCUGUGCUAAGCUAAAACAACACUGGAGAGUAAUAACUGCACACGUUCUCUUAUGCACAAAAUAUACUGCGAUUUUUCAGGUACAAUAUUUGUUGUGUUUUAGGUUUCAGAUUUCGAACGAGGUCUGGAAAACUCAGCAGAGUGAAAAACGCUGGACUUCAGUGAACCUUACAACAGCUUUGUGUGCUAGCAUCUCGAUCUCAUAAAAGAGGAGGCAGAAUUUUGUGUAACUUUGGUUUGACUGAAAACAGAAAUGACUGUUAAAACAACAACCCCUUUUCUAGAUGACAUUCGCUGUGAUCGAACGGAAGGUUAAACUCAAAUCUGAUGCAAAAAAUGUUGGUUAUCUCUACAGAGAACAUACCGUAGUCUCUCUACAGGGCCAACUGGAUCUGGAUAGACAUGGAUUAUACAAUGAGUUCUAUGAAACAAAGCAAAUAUCACCUAGAAAAGGUUCUUGACAUCGAUCUCCUCUUUUAUAAUGGCUAUAUUAUUUGCUUUUAAAAGAUAACCAAGCCACAUCAUUUCAACUUGAAAUCAUGACGCUUUUUGGCUUUACUAGAUAUCUUAAAGUUUGGUUCCUAUGUUUUUAGUUUCGGCAUUGACACGUAUCUGAGAAGAAAACCAUACAGAUAGAAGACAUGACAGAUCAGACACUCCGACUGUACAAUACAUUUCACUAGUUAAGAAAAAACAAAUGAGAAAAUGGCAGACAAACAAUGAAGAAA
ensembl:lncRNA